GGAGAUGUCAUCCCUGGAAAGCUGAGCUAACAAAAAUUACUGCAGGAACAAGUUUGGAAUAUUUUGAAGUUCCUAUGGAUGUUGUGAAAUCAGAAGGAGGAAAUCUUAACCGCCAUUGUAGACCAUAUAAGCCAGCUGGAAUAUUUGUGAUGGGCCCUCCUGUAUUAGUGACUUCAUCAUGAGAGAAUCUUUAUCAACAAAGGGAAUUUCAUUACCAAGGUUGACAUUGAAUGUAACUGAAGGAGCAGCGGCAUCUUGUGAAGGGU